rnacentral:lncRNA from 1 species
UGAUUCAGUCACUAUUUUUUUUUUUUUCGAGAGAGAAAGGUAGUAUAUUGUUAGUUUUAUUUAUUUUUUAAAAAAUAAACUUUAAUUGAAAAUGUAAAAUAACUAGAUUUCUAAUUUGAAAUCUCGAAUACCAACCACUAAGUCUUUUGCCGCUUGCGCUAGGAACGGUCAGUGAUUUAGUCGUUGGUUAUUAUAGAAGAUCAUGAUUUGAUUCAACUUGAUCAGUGGCGACAAAAGCAAAAUUAUGUUUUUCAAAUCUAUCUAGAAGUGGACGUCAUAAGUAAGUGCAAAAUU